rnacentral:rRNA from 1 species
GACGUAGGGCGCAAGCGUUAUCCGGAAUGAUUGGGCGUAAAGCGUCCGCAGGUGGCAGUUCAAGUCUGCUGUCAAAGACCGGGGCUUAACUUCGGAAAGGCAGUGGAAACUGAACAGCUAGAGUAUGGUAGGGGCAGAGGGAAUUCCUGGUGUAGCGGUGAAAUGCGUAGAGAUCAGGAAGAACAUCGGUGGCGAAGGCGCUCUGCUGGACCAUAACUGACACUCAGGGACGAAAGCUAGGGGAGCGAAUGGG